GUUCAAAACUUUAAAAGUUUUGGAAUCUCUUUAAAAAGAUCUUCGAAUCGUGUCUUUUGUAAAGGAUAACGAAUUUGAAUAUUUAAUUUCCAAUAUUACUAGUUGGAAUUUUAAUUGAAGUAUAUAGAAAAAGAUAAAUAUUCAGGCAAGUUGAAAUUUGCAUACAAAUUGAGAAUGGGACAUGAUCAAAUUGUCCAGAAGAAGAAAGUUUAGUAGACGCAAGCCUAAUUCACAAAAAAACCCCACGAGAAUAUGAAAGAAGAAGAAGAAGAUUAAAAGGGGCAUAUUGGGUUGAUAAUUUUUUGGACCACGUAGUAAAGUGAAAUAAUCUUUAUGCUCCAAAUAAUUUUGUGGUCCUCCUCCUCCCUCCAUUGACUGCUUACUACUGUUACAAAUCAAUGGUUUCUUUCAACUUCUUCCCUUUCCUUUUCUUGAAGAAGGUGUUCCAGCACGGGGAAGGUGCUCUAAUUAGCUAUAUUGUUAUUACAUUAUAUGGCGAAACCCAAAUGUGCAUGUGAAGAGAUUGAAGAUGAGCCAGCAAAUGGGUUGUUAGCAACAAUUUUGAAUGUGUGGAAAAGAAGGAAAAAUACAAGAAGACGAUACCUGCAGACAGAAGCACAAGAUGGACGCAUGACCUGUGGUACCAUUGAUGCAAAAGUUCACCCACAAGUUGUGAAAUGGGUUAUGUUCAUGAGAUUGGCAUACAGAUUCUUUCACCACUUAUUAGGGUUAUAUCGUUGAGGUGAUGUACACAAUCCAUUGUCUACAAACUCAAGAACUAGCUGUUGCAAUUUCUCUUAGACCUAAUAUGAAAAGGGAGGAUUAUCACAAAGGUACUUUCAAAUAAAGCACCAACUAAUAAGGAAGGCCUACCAAUUUUUUUUUCCUUUUUCUUUUUGGAUUAAUUUUAGCUUUAGAGUUCUACCAUAUCAGUUUCUACUUUUAGCUUAAAAAAAAAUAUUAUUACAACCACUUUCAUACCAUUCAAAAUUUGAAAUUUUAGAUUAUAUGCCUAAAAUAUAAAUGGUACAAUUAUGUAUGAGUGUUACUUGUACCACAAUAUUUAUAUAUAGAAAAGCAAUAAUUAUUUGAA